rnacentral:rRNA from 1 species
ACACUCCUACGGGAGGCAGCAGUGGGGAAUAUUGCACAAUGGGCGCAAGCCUGAUGCAGCCAUGCCGCGUGUGUGAAGAAGGCCUUCGGGUUGUAAAGCACUUUCAGCGGGGAGGAAGGCGAUACGGUUAAUAACCGUGUUGAUUGACGUUACCCGCAGAAGAAGCACCGGCUAACUCCGUGCCAGCAGCCGCGGUAAUACGGAGGGUGCAAGCGUUAAUCGGAAUUACUGGGCGUAAAGCGCACGCAGGCGGUCUGUCAAGUCGGAUGUGAAAUCCCCGGGCUCAACCUGGGAACUGCAUUCGAAACUGGCAGGCUUGAGUCUUGUAGAGGGGGGUAGAAUUCCAGGUGUAGCGGUGAAAUGCGUAGAGAUCUGGAGGAAUACCGGUGGCGAAGGCGGCCCCCUGGACAAAGACUGACGCUCAGGUGCGAAGGCGUGGGGAGCAAACAGGAUUAGAUACCCGAGUAGUCCCAUGA